GCCGCCAUGCCGGAGGGGAAGGGCGCGUUCCGGGAGGUGCUGCCCAAACAAGGGCAGCUGUCGGUGGAGGACACGGCCGGCAUGGUGCUGUGCAAGCCCAAGGUGCUGCCCCUCAAGUCGGUGUCGCUGGAGAAGCUGGAGCAGCUGCAGCGCGCGGCCAUGGAGGCGUCGCGGCCGCCCGAGGGCACUCCGGGCCCCCAGCCGCGGCCCUAGGCGGGGCGCCAGG
rnacentral:lncRNA from 1 species